AAUGUGCCUUAUAAAAACAUCAGUUUGAUAUAACUUUAUGUAUAAUGAGAGAUAUAAAUAUCAAUAUUUACACACAUUAUAAAAAUUUAUUUAAAUAUAAAUUCAAUAUUACAUAGAAUCUGUUCAAUUGAUAUUCGUAUAUGGCACACAUGACGAUUGACUGCGCAGUUUUAAUGUACACAUGCAACUAUUCUAAUACACAUUUCAAUAAUUAAUAUGUGUGUGAAAUAUGGAUAGAAAGAACGAGGCAAAGUGGCAUCGUCCCCACGCACGCGAUUUACAUGCGCGUCAACUACCAACGGUAGUUGAAACAGCAGUAGUGCUAUUGCUUUCCAUUCGAUCGGACUUGACUAUCGCAGUGAACAAAUGCGCAUGCGCAUUUUGUUGUUUCGUUUUAUACGCCUGCGCGUGCCAUUACUUCUUUUGGCGCACAAUUAAUAGAUUUGUUGAACUAUCAAGAUAUGACCGUGAAUCAUAAGUGAAAAUAAUCUGCGAUUUCGAUUCUGCAGUUUUUUUUUGAAACUGUUUAAACAAUAGUGUUUGUUAUUGAUACAUUUUGUUUGGAAAUUGUUUGCAUUUUUCUAACUUUAACGAGUUUUAUAAUAGGUGAAUAUUAUUACGUGAAGAGAAAGCCGUUUUUUCAUCAUAUUGUAGAUAAUAAAUUUCUUCAUCUUUGUAUUAAGAUGACAGUUGUCUAUUCUUCACCGAAAAAAAAGACAGAAAAAAGAAAGAGAGAGAAUUAACAUGUCGUUCGAUAAUAAUUAAUUAAAGAAAAAAAUAUCUAUCGUGGCGGUUAUAUUUCGGAAAUAUUUGUCGAUUAAUAGUUUAAAGGUCUCAUUGGAAUCAUUGGAUCCAUGCGCACGUGCAGUGGUGCUGCAUCUCUAACUCUAAAAUGGAAGAUCAAUCGCAGAAUAUUAAAAGAUUAUCAAUAAGCCCUAUUUCAUCUUUCAUCGACGUUAGUAGAUUCAAACAAAUACAAGAAUGUUGAAGAAACCAGUUACUGAUUCGAGAUCCCUACUACAAGUGUACAUUCCACGAGAGAAGAGCCACUUCACUUUUUUGGAGGAUAAUGCUCAAUGGAUAUUGGAUUCCUGCAAACAACCAUUGAUUUCCAGGCACAGGCGUAGUCAAAUCCAUCUAUCAGACUCACAAAUGCAUCAUCAGCGAUAUUCGAGACAUCGGCUCUACUUCGGUCCCUCUCUGCCAAGUUUUCAUGGCGAAUGGAUCUUUUUUUGUGAUAGCUUCGAAU